rnacentral:miRNA from 1 species
UCUCUGAGACACUGACUGUGG